rnacentral:lncRNA from 1 species
UUCUGUGGUGUGUAUGUACCACAUUUUCUUUAUCCCCCUCAUUGGUUGAUGGCACUUAGGUUGGUUCCAUCUCAUUCCUGGUCCUGCUCUUUAUGGAACCAACAACACCUUCCUCAGCCUAGUUCAUUCCCAGCCCCAGGGGCCCUAGCCUUUUAUAUCUGCUGAUUGAUUUAUGCUUUGAAAGCCCUUUCACCUACAAAGGAAGGAAAGAGAAGGAGGACAGAAGGGGAGGACCACAGUCCAGCUGCCACAGAGACGAGGGUCACAACCACUUCUUUCUGAAUCUCAAAGCCUUCCUGUGUGAUCAAAUCCCCACACCAAGAGCACUUUUGAUCCAACUUCCUCAGGCUGAGAGCCAUCAGCCAAGGACAGAGGGUGUUAGCAUGAGCCCUGCCUACAGAGCCGCUCACACAGUGUCCAGGGCGAUCUUUUCAAUACCUAAGUGAUAUAGUUUGGCUGUGUCUCCACCCAAAUCUCGUCUUGAAUUGUAGCUCCCAUAAUUCUCACGUGUCAUGGGAGGGACCUGGUGGGAGGUAAUUGAAUCAUGGGGGUGAGUCUUUCCCAUGCUGUUCUCGUGAUAGUGAAUAAGUCUCACGAGAUCUGACGGUUUUAUAAAGGGGAGUUUCCCUGUACACGCUCUCUCUUGCUACUGCCAUGUAAGACGUCUUUGCUCUUCGUCUUCCACCAUGAUUGUGAGGCCUCUCCAACCAUGUGGAACUGACAGCUAGGUCUGCUGUGGGUCUUGGCUCCCCAUUCACACUAAAGGCUGAAUGCUCUGUGGCCAGUUCUCAAUUUGGACCAUGCUUUCCUGUCACAGCAGCCCAGACUACCCUCUGUCACCCAGCCCAGGAUGAGUGUAUCUGUUACCCCCAGGUUGACACUGCAAAAUCUGAAAAUGGCUCACUAUGCAGAGACAGUGCAGGGCAGGAGUGGAGUCCGAUCUCCAGAACCAGGC